ensembl:lncRNA
UCCAAAUGGGCGGCAGUAAAUCAGUCACGCCACCGUCAAAGCGUUGGGGUGAAAAAAAUGUUCUUCACAAUCCUACCAUCGGAUGCGCACGGGUUGACAUCAAACAUGAAAAAGAUGCAUAUCAUUUAGUUAUAAUGCAAAUAUGUAUAUUCUACUGCAAGCAAGAGAUGUAAUUUACCGGUAUCUUUGAAAUAUUUUACACCCUUGCAAUAAACCGCAAGGGACAGAGGACCCAUUGAAUAUUGAGGAGCAAGCAAGGUUGGCGACAGAAUUUGAGGUUAUUGACGAUCACAGCCAUAUUCUGUCCAUGAAAUCUUGCACCAAUUAGUCACCGAGUUAUCCUGCGUGAAGGUGUUCUGUUUUGACCAAAAUAUGUUAUCUUUACUGCGAAGGCUUUAACUGAAGAAAUUACACACGUUAUUUAAUUAACCAUGCUGGAAAAGUAGUCUGAUCGGUGACCAGAGUAUGGUUCUACAGCUGAUACUGUUUAUAAUAAGCCUGAGCAAUAAGGACCAAAUGUUCAAGCCAUUUCUUUUUGAUCAUACCCUAUUGAUGUGCCUACUAAUCUCAAAGAAUACAAUAGGAUGAAGACAGUAUGUGGUAAAGGAGGGACAUUGGAUGGUGACAUGCUGAUGGUCAUCGUUAAACAAGAGAAAGAAGACCAAAUGGAGCAGAUGUCCAAUGGUCCACUGUCAUCUGACACGCUCAUCAAACAGGAGCAAGAAGAGGGCCUAGAACAAGGCACUACAGCUCCCGACGACCAACUCCCUGAGGAAACAGACACCCUGGAAGAAGCAGAGGAGGAGAAAAAGAGGAGGAAGGGAAAGACAGAGGAGAGGUGCUGGUCUGCUGUUGAGACUGAGGAUGUCUCUGGGUCAGACUCCAGUUGGUGCUGCAGACUGUGUCAGCGCUGCUUCAUUUCCUCCUGGCAGCUAACGGGACACUGUUGUACUGGUGUGGCGGGGGAGGACGGGGUCGCGCACGGCCACAAGGUCAAACUGGAGUUCCAGUGCCCAGUGUGUGGUGACCGCUUCCUCCGCCCCACUGCCUUCAUCAUGCACAAGCGCAGACACAUGGGCCAGUCCCAGAACAUCUGUGGGGUCUGUGGACGGACGCUCAAGAGCCUGCGCAAGCUGGCCUCCCACAAGCGCUCACACUGUGGCUGAACGACAGCAGUGCCAUGACUGCAGCCAGAGCUUCUGCAACCUGACAGCACUCAGAAGCCACCGGGAGAGACAGCACGGAGAGGAGAGGAUCUGGGAGGAUGAGGACAGGGCGGUGAGAGAGGAAGAGGAGGGAAGCACUGCAGUAAUCUCUAAUGAUUCAACCAGAGUUUCAGGUAAGGCUGGUUCUUUAUUAAUAUUUCCUCUUGUUUAGGCUAUGGAUUCACCUCUCAUUUGCAGGGUACUUGGAAUUCUGUGAACGUGUGUCUUGAAUCUGAUUAUUCUGUUCUAGAUAUGAUAUGCAUCUUGUUAUUUUGUCUUUUCAAUGACUCAGUAUUUACCUGUAUUUGACAAUUUUUCCUCUUUGCAGCAAAUCACAUCACUUGUGUAUCCACUGGUUCUCCUGACCCUGUCUAAUUGCUUUCUCUUCCCGUAGCCCAGCCUCCCCAGUCUCCUCAGUGCCAUCAUGACCUUUCAGGAUGCAGAGACAGAAGAGAGGCAUUUACGCUUCAAGCACCCAGUGGAGUAUGAGAGACAUCUCAGAGGUCGCACAGUGUUUGCCUGCUGUGUCUGUACAUUCCCCUCCUGCCUGCCUGCUCUCAGCUCACCAACGCACCCACAGCAAGUGGAGUCUGCCCCCCACUGGCCCAGAAGACUCUGUCCAAGAAAGCACAGACGGAGGAGAGGCUGAGGGUAUAUAGAAUUUGAAAAUGUUUUUCAUACAGUCUAUGUACUUAUUAUUUAUUUCAGUUUUCACGUUUU